AUGGAUGCCAGCCAUGUUCUUCUUGGGAGGCCUUCGCAAUUUGAUGUGGAUACUACACACAAGGGCAAGGAAAAUUCUUACUCUUUCAUUUGGAACAAGAGAAAAAUCAUUAUCCUACCAAACAAAACCGAAGGUAAUACCUCUAAGGAGGAGGGGAAAACUAUGUUAACUAUCUCCCAUACCUCUCAUGAGUUUAUGGAAGACUUGAAGGAGGCAGAUUUGUGUGCUGCACUUGUUGUAAAGGGAGAAGAGCACCGGACUGUUAAAAUUCCAACAAAGGUACGUGGUUUAUUGGCAGAAUUUUAG
rnacentral:rRNA from 1 species